UCCAGAGGUCCCACGCGUUGUUCGGAUUCACUGGGCGUAAAGGGUGCGUAGGUGGUUGGGUAAGUCUGAUGUGAAAUCUCCGAGCUUAACUCGGAAAUGGCAUUGGAUACUAUUCGGCUAGAGGGUUUGAGGGGGGACUGGAAUACUUGGUGUAGCAGUGAAAUGCGUAGAUAUCAAGUGGAACACCAGUGGCGAAGGCGAGUCCCUGGAAAACUCCUGACACUGAGGCACGAAAGCUAGGGGAGCAAACAGG
rnacentral:rRNA from 1 species